AUUGAUAAUGGUCAUCAUUAUUAGUACUUCUUUUAGAAUGAAAUCACUUUGUCUGGCAGAUAAGUUGGUUGGUUUUCUACAGUGUAACAAUUUCAAAAGGUUGGAAGAUCUUUGCUGUUGCUAAUUUUGCUGACAGUAAUAAGUUGUGCAUAAUGAACCCUACAUGUUAUUCUCUAGACAUCCUUAAUAUCGCUCAACUGUUGAAAUAAUAUCAUUUGUUUCUUGUUGUAGACACAGUGAUUUGUAGCGAGAUUGAGGAUGCUACCUGCAGAUGUUCUAAAGAAAACCUUCAAGAAGUUGGACCAUGAUGUAAAUAUAGAGAAUUUUAUGUGUUCAAGAAAGAAGUUUCAGAUGUGGCGAAGGAAGAAGUUCAAGGUGAUGGUAAUCUACUGAUUUCCAAUCAGGAAUUGAGGAAUCAAUUAAGGGUAUUGCAAGCUCAACUUACAGGAGUACAAAAGAGACUGAGGUGCACCUUAUG